CCCGGCGGGGGCAGCGGCACUCCCCGGGCGGCUCCUCCGGGCUGCAGCCCCGCAGAUGGGGGCCGCUGUCCCGCUCCUCCUGCCCGCGGGCUGCUGCGGUCAGCAAAAGCGACGGCUUGUUACGGGGUGGCCGCCGUGGGGGAGAAAGCUGUAGAAAGGUGCUCUGGGGAGAUGUGAAGGAGGGCUCGAGCACAGCGACUGGGUGGGAAGGAGGUGACAGUUAGCUGGAGAAGAGCAUAAUUCCCCACCGCUUUCCCCAAGUCCCUCACGCUGCCCUCGGGCACCUGCUGGCUGUGCUUCUGUCCCUCCGUGUACCAGCACAAACGCUCCUGUCGUCCUUGGGGUCAUGGCACGGCCCUGGACACAAGGCACCGCCUGGCUCAGUGCCUCCUACCCUCAUGCUUCCCCUUGCAGGAGGGUGGGAGAGAAAACCUUCCCUCACCGCUGCACCCCGCACCAGGACAGUGGCUGUGACAAGGAGCCCGUGCCCUGGCUGGUGCCCUGCUGUCCUCACCCUGAGGGGCAGAGCUGCCCAGGGCAGCAGGGAGCAUUCUGCCAUCCCAUCUUCCUCACAGGAAGGAGGAAGCUGGCCCUUGGAGAUCCCUCCUCAGGGGAGCAGAAGUUGUGGAACUACAUGGAUAUUGAGGUAAUGAAGCAAUGGACUGCAGCAAUUGGUUCAACACAAUCUCAAAGGCAGCAUGAGCAGCUCUUGGGCCAAGUGCCUUUUCUGGCCCAAAGCAUCUGCUGGGGAAAGGCAAUGAAUUACUUGCGGCUUUUUUUGUUUGUUUGUUUUUACCUAACGUUCAUCUGAAAAUAAAUUGCAGGCCAGAACAGGUGGAUAACAUUCUGGAAUGAUUUAAUGAUUUAUUUAAUCUGGAUUCUCUUUCAAUCUACUUAGCAGGAUGAAUACUUUUUUUAGCCCAAGUCCAAAAGCUGGGUUUUUCAUUUACAGAAGAGAAAAUACCCCACAAGAGCUCUGCUUCACCAAGGUGUGCUCCGCAGCAUUGUCUGCAGCACAACGGUCAUUCUGGGGUUGCUGAGAGCCCUGAGAAAAAUUCUUCCUUGCCAUCUGCACAGUGCUUCAGAUGGGUAUCUGCUCUCCUUUGUGCAGCAUCUGGGCAGUAAGACAGCUGAUCUUAGCACCAGGCACUGCACCUUCAAUCUGAGUAUGGGCAGCUUUCAGCCUGCAAAGACAUCCACUCUCUGGCUCUCCCUCUCCAUAGGGCAGCCUAGGGCACCAGUGACCAGAGAGUGACUAGAGAGUGACCAGAAAGUAAGUGCUGCAGCACAGCACCAGCAGACACAAAAGCAGCGUUUCCCACCCCCAUGCCCUUGGUAGGGCCUGGGAGCCUGCCAGACUGAAGGACUUCCAGCCCCUGCCCUGCUGGGGACAGCACAGUCAUCUGCCAGGUGCUUGGCCGCAGUGUCUGUGUAGAACAGCAGCGUGAAGAAGCAUGGGAGUUGAGUCAUGCAUAACCCCAAGAAUAAUGCUGCAGCUACAAGCCCUUACCUGGUUUGGAUGACCCAUCCAAGUGGACUCUCUCCUCUAUUUUAAAGGCACGCAUCAUCCAUGUUAAACACCUCCAAGAUGCCCUCCAUAGUUAGCUGCUUAAUGGAACGUCUUAAAUAUAUCCACCAGCCAUGAAACAAGCAGCACUGGAGCUCUCUGCUGCCACAGCCAAUCCCACUGCUGCUCAUUAUGGGUAACAGAAAAAUAUCACCUCCACAUCACUGAGUUCUGGUCUUCCCUACGUGAACCACAAGAGGCACCGGACAGUGACACGAUUCUGAAGUGAAAACGUUAUUUCUAAGUUCCUUGUUUGGAAAAACACUUCAAGCUUCCGGGAAAUUGAACUUUCUGCUCACAACCUGCCAACAGCUCUCCCCUGCAUUUUUACCGGUUUGGACUUUUCAUACAAACUCUGACGCCCGUUUCUGUCCUUCUGCUGGCUGUCGGUCUCGGUUCCCGUGUCGGUGCCGCAGGAUAUCGCUGCAGGCUGUAGGGGCGGCACUGGAGGGGCUCAGCCGCCCCGCGCCGGGCAGGACAGCGCGGACGUGGGGAACGCACAGCGCACAGUGCCAUCUAUUCGGCAAGGAUCUGUUAUUUCUCCCCAGCUCCCAGCCCGCAUGUUCCUGUAUAGCCGCCCUCCAGUCUCAGCGCCGGGUCGCGGCUUCUGGUCGGCUUACUGCAGCCGCGAGCCCUGCAACAGGCGCACUUUUUUAUUAAUACAG
ensembl:lncRNA